rnacentral:rRNA from 1 species
AUUGAACGCUGGCGGCAUGCCUUACACAUGCAAGUCGAACGGCAGCACGGGAGCAAUCCUGGUGGCGAGUGGCGAACGGGUGAGUAAUAUAUCGGAACGUGCCCAGUCGUGGGGAUAACGUAGCGAAAGUUACGCUAAUACCGCAUACGAUCUAAGGAUGAAAGCGGGGGAUCGCAAGACCUCGCGCGAUUGGAGCGGCCGAUAUCAGAUUAGGUAGUUGGUGAGGUAAAGGCUCACCAAGCCAACGAUCUGUAGCUGGUCUGAGAGGACGACCAGCCACACUGGGACUGAGACACGGCCCAGACUCCUACGGGAGGCAGCAGUGGGGAAUUUUGGACAAUGGGCGCAAGCCUGAUCCAGCAAUGCCGCGUGCAGGAUGAAGGCCUUCGGUU